UGUACUAAUUGCACAAAAAGUAGCUCCAGCCCUCCCUGCUUCACAACUGUGCAAAACCAAAGUUCAAUUCCUCUCCGACCCUCAAAGACUUCGUCGAGUUGCCGGAGGUUUCAUCAGAGUGGUGAAAAUCGGUUGACUCCGUCUUUCUCCAGAGAAAAUUGGUGAAGACAUUGCAAAGAAAACUGUAAAGAAUAGGAAGGGUUUUCAGGUUUUAUGACUUUUGAUGAGCAACAAAUGUCGUUGGAUUGUAAACAAUGGAGAGAGAGGAAGAAGGCGUAGAAGAGUCAGGAGAAAUGAUUGCGGCGAGUCUGGGCUUAAUUCAUUUGAUAUGAUUAGAAUUUUUUGGUUGGCAUAAAAUCAGCAGUGAUAUCAUUACUUCUAUUUACUCAACUGGAUUCUUAUCAAGUAAAAUGAGUGAUGAUAUGUACAAUUCAGAACAUAAAACAUGUUCUCUUGCAAGCACCAAAUCAACACUCACUGAAGUCAUGCACACAAUUAAUGAGCGAAGGGAUAAGUAAUCGACUGUGAAAGUUAGUUUGCCAUGUUAUGUUGUAUACUUUUUAUACAGUGUCGUUAAAUUGCACAAGAAAGAUUGAUGUACCAACUUUUUAGAGAAAGAAGUCUGAGUUGAUUUAGCCAAGAAGCUUGAGGAAUUUGGAAAACCUAUGUAGUAAAAUUUGCAGGGAAACACAAGAAGACACUAUUAUUUGGCUUGUACUACUUGUGCAUAAUUUUUUUUUGAAGAUUUGUA